UACGUAGGCAGCGAGCGUUGUUCGGAGUUACUGGGCGUAAAGGGUGUGUAGGCGGUUCUUUAAGUUUGGUGUGAAAUCUCCCGGCCCAACCGGGAGGGUGCGCCGAAUACUGAGGGACUAGAGUGCGGGAGAGGAAAGUGGAAUUCCUGGUGUAGCGGUGAAAUGCGUAGAUAUCAGGAGGAACACCGGUGGUGUAGACGGCUUUCUGGACCGUAACUGACGCUGAGACACGAAAGCGUGGGUAGCAAACAGG
rnacentral:rRNA from 1 species